rnacentral:tRNA from 5 species
GGCCUGGUGGCGCAAUGGUAGCGCGUUCGACUCCAGAUCGAAAGGUUCCGUGUUCAAGUCACGUUCGGGUCA